rnacentral:tRNA from 1 species
GGUCACGUCGCCAAGGGGCUAAGGCAACAGUUUGCAAAACUGUUAUACGUGGGUUCGAUUCCCACCGUGACCUCC